CCGGCGCACGGGUGAGUAACACGUAUCCAACCUGCCGUCUACUCUUGGACAGCCUUCUGAAAGGAAGAUUAAUACAAGAUGGCAUCAUGAGUCCCCAUGUUCACAUGAUUAAAGGUAUUCCGGUAGACGAUGGGGAUGCGUUCCAUUAGAUAGUAGGCGGGGUAACGGCCCACCUAGUCUUCGAUGGAUAGGGGUUCUGAGAGGAAGGUCCCCCACAUUGGAACUGAGACACGGCCAA
rnacentral:rRNA from 1 species